CAACUUUGAGCGUGGCAUGGUUGUUGGUGCCAGACGGGCUGUGCACUGUUGAAGGCCUUCGGUCAGAGUUGCCUGGACCUCUGAAAGUAUCUUUUCCAUGUGGGUAAAGGUCAAGACGUCAUCGCUCGUCAGCUGCUCCAGUGUUGUUGCUAUCAAGCCCUGCCUCAGAGACACUUCCAGCCUUAGCAAGGCAGGUUGGGAUUGGAGAAGCCCCGUCAGCUCCUCCCACCACAACAACUUUUGCUGGAUCCUCUAACAAGAAGUGGAAAAUACAUUUUCCUUUGGCAUUUUCAGUUCCUCACACAAUGACACAAGGGAUGAGAA